CUCCGCUGGCCGCGCCUUAUAAGUGACCCUGGCGUCUGCGGCUACAGCAGGAGACAGGAGCCGACACUCCUUGGGGCUCAGGGACUCGGGCCGCGCGGAUGGGGCCUGGGAGCUGCCGCCUUCCUUGCCGAGGGGCCGUGCGUGCCACGCGGCCCGGACCGACCCCAGCCAGGAAACGGGCUUUCGAGGGGCUGCUGGCUUCUUUCGGCUGGGAGCCAACAGCAGGAGGACUGGUUGGGGACCCGAGGCCAGGGCUGUGCCCUCAGACGUGCAGCCCCUAGACGUGCGGGCCGGUGGCGCCGAGACCCCGUCCCGGGGAGGCUGGUGCAGCGCGAGCUCCAGGCAGAGGGCUCAGCAGGUGCCGCCUCCUAGGCUACCAGCCCCAGUGACCCCGGACUCCCGCCCUAGACUGAAGGUUCAGGGCACGGGUGGAAGGCUGCUUGGGGGAGAUGGGGAGACUGAGGCACAGCAACCAAGGACAUUGUCCCACUGGGUGUGACGGUGCUAGAAGGGGGACCCGGGACUUGGGGCGACCACUUCAUAGCUCCCAAAGAUCGCCUUGGUCUGUGGGGCUUGGGGGGCUGGCCCCAUGGAAGAGUGGACAGGAGGGAGGCUGGCAGGGGGUCUUUGCCUGCCCUGUAACCUUCCUGGGAUUCCCACCCCAUUUGGCGUCGAAUCCUGAAAAUGACUAAAACAAGUGCGGCCAGGCCCCAGGGCCGCACAGGUGCCGGGGGGCUGGAGGUCCCGGGUGGGCGGGGGGUGUGCAGAGCUCCAGGAGCCUGCUCCAGAGCAUCGUGGCGAGGGACGGAGCCCAGGGCAGGGGCCUCCUGGAAGGCCAUCUCGGGGGAGGACGGUGAAGCCACUGUUUGUCAGGACCUUCUGUGGUCAGGCCUCGCACAGGCGUCACCUCAGGUCCUGCAACAGCCACGCCAGACCAGUUCCUGCCGCCUCUUACAGAGCAAGUGAUUUCCGGGACGGAGGCUGCAAGCUGGGGCCGGGCUGUGCCCUGGAGAGGUGAUUUCACCUCUGGACCUGUUUGCUGCUGAACCAGACGAGGGGCCUGCCGUGUGCCAGGUCCUGGUCUAGGCACUGGGAGCCUACGAAUGACCAAACCGCAAGCAAAGUCCUUGCUCCCCUGGAGCUUGAACUGUAACUGGAAGGAAGACAAGAAGAAAAGGAAAAUUGAUAACUUACCAACUAUGACGGAAUCGCAGUAACGACGGAAUGCACUGAGACACCAGGAGAGUGUGUAGUCAGGGGCGCCGGUGUCCCGUGUGGAAGUGUGACGGCGGCUUUGGGAGCCCAGCCUUGGGGGUCUGGCUUCCUACCCCUGGUUUUCUUACUAAUGGGAUGUUUCCGUUAAACCCCCGACCUCCACGCCCUCGGUCCUGGUCUGCCCGGCGGGGCUCAUGGCCCCUCCCUGGCCGCCUCCGGGGCCGUUUCGAGGAGCAAACGACCAGCCUCAGUUUCUUCAUCUGUAGAACGGAGCCACCACGGGUUCAGUGGGACGGUGCAGACGAAGAGCCUGACACGGGCUCAGCCCCUACUCGGCAGGAGCUGGGUUGUGACGUGCUCACGAAUGGUCAUCCCUCAGCUCUGGGGGCACAUUGCUGACCGGGGUCGGGGCCCCCGGGCUGCGAGGUCGUGACCCUCUCCCUCCAUCUCCCCCCGUGCUGGGUUCAGUGCAGGGUGGUUGGCUUUCUGUGUCCAGCAGCUGACGUUCAAUAGAAGGCAAACGCCCCUUAUUUCUCCAGUCGGCACAAAUACGACAAAUAGAGAUGCGAGUUGUGUGUC